ensembl:lncRNA
CUGUUAAAACUUUUAGGGUGCCUUUCCCACACAUUUUACUCGUUUUCAAGUGUUUCAAGACGCACUCGUGAUGCUGACACGCCAGAGUGUCUUUAACUUUAAUCGAAAUGCCACGAGCGUGAAAGUCAUCAGGCUGUCACUGAUCUGCGCGUGGCCAUGACCGGCAUGAUAAAGAACCGGACGGCUUUUCGGCGAGGAAAACGGCUAAUGGGCGAAAGAUGAGGAGAAAAACAAUAGCAAAGCGCAUCCUGUACAAUGGAUACGAGGGAUACGAAGAGACACCCGAAGAAACCGGCGCGAGGGCGAACCACGUCCUCAGUCAAGAGCCGGCGAAGAGGAGAAAAUGGAGAGAACUAAAUGGAGAGGACAUCUCAUCUUGCAAUGCUGACUAUAUUAAGUUCAAAACAAAGGCUUUUGAGGUUGACAAGCCCCUUGGAGAUGCAACAAGGGGUGCAGAUUUUACUAUGGAGGUGCUCGGAAGUCUCCAAUCACGUCCAAGGGCGGAGCUUAUCGCCAUGGUGUUGAGUAUGCAGAGGGAGAUGGACGGCCUUCGAGAGCAAAUCAGAA